rnacentral:rRNA from 1 species
GACGAACGCUGGCGGCGUGCUUAACACAUGCAAGUCGAACGGAAAGGCCCCUUUGGGGGUACUCGAGUGGCGAACGGGUGAGUAACACGUGAGUAACCUGCCCUUGACUUCGGGAUAACUCCAGGAAACUGGGGCUAAUACCGGAUAGGAAUCCUUGCUGCAUGGUGGGGGUUGGAAAGCUUCGGCGGUUUUGGAUGGACUCGCGGCUUAUCAGCUUGUUGGUGGGGUAGUGGCUUACCAAGGCUUUGACGGGUAGCCGGCCUGAGAGGGCGACCGGCCACAUUGGGACUGAGAUACGGCCCAGACUCCUACGGGAGGCAGCAGUGGGGAAUAUUGCACAAUGGGCGGAAGUCUGAUGCAGCAACGCCGCGUGCGGGAUGACGGCCUUCGGGUUGUAAACCGCUUUCAGCAGGGGCGAAGCUUGUGGUGACGGUACCUGCAGAAGAAGCACCGGCUAACUACGUG